rnacentral:rRNA from 1 species
AGCGAACGCUGGCGGCAGGCCUAACGCAUGCAAGUCGAACGGAAUCUUCGGGGUUUGUGGCGGUGGGGUGAUUGACACGUGGGGACGUGCAUGUUGGUUAGGUAUACUUGACGGUAACUUGUGCUCAUGCAAAAUGUGCCCAUAGGGGGAAAGAUUUCUCGCUAUUAGGGCGGCGCGGGUAUGAUUCGGUGGUUGGUGAUGUACUCGCGGCUUAUCGGGUUGAUGGUGGGGUGGUGUCUUAGCAAGGCUUUGACCGGUGGCCGGCCUGCGCGGGUGAGCGGACACAUUGGGACUGAGAUACGGCCCAGACUCCUACGGGAGGCAGCAGUGGGGAAUAUUGCACAAUGGGCGGAAGCAUGAUGCAGCAACGCCGCGUGCGGGAUGACGGCCUUCGGGUUGUAAACCGCUUUCGCCUGUGACGAAGCGUGAGUGACGGUAAUGGGUAAAGAAGCACCGGCUAACUACGUG